AAAUUUUGAGGAUUUGUUAUAUUUACCUAUUUUAGACUUUAAAUUCAAAAUAAAAUUCACUAAUUCUAAUAGUUAUUAUUUAUUUACUAAGAAUCAAAUUUCGAUUCUCAUUCCAUUGCGAAAUUAAAAUGAUCCAAUUUAUCUAUAUUCUAGUCCAAUUUUGAUUUUUGAAUGCUCAUUUUGAAAUAAAUUAUUUAAAAAUCUCUCUCACAAACACCUUCCUUUUUCUUCCUUUAUUAUUCUCCUAUUACUUAACUAAAAUUCUCUUUCAAAAUUUUAAAAAUUUCAAUCUACAAUUUUGAUUUCUUUUUUCAUGAUAAUAAAUUAAUUAUUAUUGAAUGAUUUA
rnacentral:lncRNA from 1 species